rnacentral:lncRNA from 1 species
AUGUUGUAACAUUUUAUUUUCAAAUAAUCACGGAUUUAUAGAAAAUUGCCCUCCCCCAAAUGUACAGAGAUCCCCUGUACCUUUUAGCCAGUAACUCCCAGAGGUAACACCUUAUGUGAUUAUAGAACAAUACUGAAGCCAGGAAAUUGAUAUUAGUACGAUCCAUAAAGCUUAUUAAAUGUCUAUGCAUAUAUAUCAUAAUCCAAUGUACAUAACUCCCACUUUGCUUCACAGUCCAGAAGAUCAAAUACUUUCCUCCUAAACAUAAAAGUUGCAUCUAACUCCACCUGCCUCCAAACUCAAGUUCAACCAUGAAAUUCCCCCCCCCUUUUUUGUCUUUUUAGGGCCUCGCCUGCGGCAUAUCGAAGUUCCCAGGCUAGGGGCUGAAUCAGAGCUGUAGCCGCCAGCCUAUGCCAGAGCCACAAGCAACGCAGGAUCCAAAAAUAGCAAAAAAAGACAAAAAAAGAGAGAGAAGUUCAAGUCCCUGAAUCAACUGGUGGUUGGGAGAAAGCAGGCAUUCUUUGGCCUAAAACUGGGAAAAAUGUAAAGACUUCAGUGAGAAGCGAUCCUGGGCUCCUGAAGGGCCUGAGUGCACUCUGUCACCGCAGCUGGCAUCCCAGGCAUUCUGUGUCCUCACUUCAGCCCACGCUCGGCCUGGGGAGCAGAGGGAAUUGUGGUCAGGCAGCCAUGGGUGGGGUCACCCCAGCGUGCGUGACAAAGGGACCUUCUUGGAAGCCGGCCCUCCCUGCAAUGCCCACAGGAGUGCGAGUUGGCUGCUUGCUCUGUUCUCCGACAAUAAGAGAAAGAGGACUGGCUUAGAAUGGUGGACGGACCUAUCGGAUGGAAUUAGGCCAAGGCCAAGAUCGAGUCCAAACCCCAGAAAACCGCUCUGAGGGCUUCUGACUCUCGUAAAGCAGUCGGAGUGGAAACAGGCUCCUGUCCUCCCCAGCGUUAGGAGCAGCAGACAGGCAAGACGGAGUCAAGAGAUGGGGUCCGGGGGUGGGCACGAGUGGGGGAGGUGCCCUGGACAGCGGCUGGAAGGGGAAUGGGGUGCGGAGGGACAUGCGGAGGCUGGGGGUCACAGCAGGUGCUGGCCUGGGUCUGCAGCAAAGGUCCCCAUCGCCUCAGGGACCCUGGAGGCUUGUCUUAGUCGGGUCAGAGGAGUCAGUCCCUGGCAUGUGACUUCCCCUCUGGGACUCGGGUGACUUCCUAUAAGCACUAGAUUGGAGACCAAUGGAGAUACUCAGUGGGGCAGAGAACCGCCCCUGUCACAGCUCCCUGUCACCAAGCACAGACACCAAGGGCAGAAAGGCAAGGACCCAAGGCUGCUUUAGCAGACUCGGGGGAAGCACGGGGCGCGAUGAUGGAUUAUCCCCGGCUCCUCGCUGGAGGCCACGGGCAUGUCGCAUGGUCCAAGGCCUCAAAAAGCCACCCCUGAGUCUUUGCUCUCCAUCCCCUGGUGGCUUGGGUCCAGUUCCUGUUGCCAUGGCAAUCCAGCUAGUCUCACAGUCCACUGGACCCAGGGGUGGCAUCUGUAGGUGGAGCUGGUAGGACCUGGAGAAUGGAACUCUCGGCUCAGCUGAGCUCCCUUGGAGGAAACUUUUCUCAUCAGCCAUCAGAGCAGAAAAUACCACUGGCUUCUCAUCACCAUCAACUUCCUGGGCUUCGGAGUUCCUGUCAUGGCACAGUGGUAAACGAAUCUGACUAAAAACCAUGAGGUUGCGGGUUCGAUCCCUGGCCUGGCUCAGUGGGUUAAGGAUCUGGCAUUGCCAUGAGCUGUGGUGUGGGUCACAGACUCGACUUGGAUCCCGAGUUGCUAUGGCUCUGGCGGAGGCCAGUGGCUACAGCUCCGAUUAGACCCCUAGCC